UACGGGGGGAGCAAGCGUUGUUCGGAUUUACUGGGCGUAAAGGGCGCGUAGGCGGUCGUGACAAGUCACUUGUGAAAUCUCCGGGCUUAACUCGGAACGGUCAAGUGAUACUGUCGGACUAGAGUACAGAAGGGGCAACUGGAAUUCUCGGGUGUAGCGGUGAAAUGCGUAGAUAUCGAGAGGAACACCUGCGGCGAAGGCGGGUUGCUGGGCUGAUACUGACGUGAGGCGCGAAAGC
rnacentral:rRNA from 1 species